rnacentral:snoRNA from 1 species
UAGAUGAAUGAUGGGAAUGUGUUAUAAACCAAAAAUUAUGUUUCAUCUAAAUCAGCACAACCGAGGUCAUU